AAAUUACCACCUCCUCUGUGUUCCUACCUGUAAAUCCACAGUGUUGCACACAUUUCAUUCCGUAUCACUGGUGGUCAAAAAACUCCUGGGACCACCUCAGAUUUAAAAGAAUUUUGCUUUCUAGCUUUGGACUCUGAUACUGUCCUGUGUCUUGGGGUUUAGUUCUCAUGUUAAUUUAUCUUAGGUAUUGUAUACUAAGAUAAUUAUAUCUAUACAAGUCUGUUCCCUCCUCCAGCGAGCAUUCAGAUAUUUAUACCUUCUUUUCUUUCCCCUGCCAGGAGUUGAUGGGCAGAUCUGUGUGAAACUGUAGUAUCACUGGAUUACAAGCAAAACCCACUCUUUCCUUCUGCAUCAGAUGGAAAAGCUCAAUA
rnacentral:lncRNA from 1 species